rnacentral:misc_RNA from 1 species
UGUCGUCCUGUUCACCACAAUGGUAUGUUAAAAUCUGAAAUUUCAAUUGUUGCCUUCUAUAGCCUUUGUCAAAAACUUUAGAAUUCUGAAUGAGCAACCUGCUUGCACAGAACUGAAGGAUCAAAAGCUAUGCCUUCUCUGCAAUCAUUCUUAAAUUGCAUUUGACAAUGUUAGUCUGUAUAUACAUGUGUUCAACUCACUUUAACCAUGUGAAGUAUUCGUUGGUAAUGUUGCCAACAUUCCAUGAGAUCAAGUUCAAUUAAUAUCAUGGUCACUUUAACUAUGUAUUCGUUGGUAAUGUUGCCAACAUUCCAUGAGAUCAAGUUCAAUUAAUAUCAUGGUCACUUUAACUAU